rnacentral:rRNA from 1 species
GCACGGCUAACUACGUGCCAGCAGCCGCGGUAAUACGUAGGGUGCGAGCGUUGUCCGGAUUUAUUGGGCGUAAAGAGCUCGUAGGCGGUUGAUCGCGUCGGAAGUGAAAACCUGGGGCUUAACCCUGGGCGUGCUUUCGAUACGGGUUGACUUGAGGAAGGUAGGGGAGAAUGGAAUUCCUGGUGGAGCGGUGGAAUGCGCAGAUAUCAGGAGGAACACCAGUGGCGAAGGCGGUUCUCUGGACCUUUCCUGACGCUGAGGAGCGAAAGCGUGGGGAGCAAACAGGCUUAGAUACCCUGGUAGUCCACGCUGUAAACGGUGGGUACUAGGUGUGGGGUCCAUUCCACGGACUCCGUGCCGUAGCUAACGCAUUAAGUACCCCGCCUGGGGAGUACGGCCGCA